rnacentral:lncRNA from 1 species
GAACUUAACUGUCACAAACCCCCAGGGAGAUACACUAAUCCCUUCUAAAAUAUCGCUAGUAAAUGAUUGUCUAGCCUCUGAACGCCUCCAGAGACUGGGAACUCACUCCAUACUGAGCCAGCCUUAGCCACACUGAGGAUUGAGAAGUGUCAGGGCUGGUGGUGCAGGAGCCACCAGCUCUGGGAGAACGACUUAUUCCUGGAGUCCUGAACAAACUGUACUUAAGGAGAUGUCAAAGGGAGAUGGAAGGUCUCAGACCUCACCUCCCGCUGCUGUUGACACCAAGAAGGAUUUGACUCUGCCCAGCUUGUUUAAAAUACCAGAAGUUUCCCAACAGAUUCCCGAUCAGCAUGGCAUGGCGCACCACAGCUCGGAUUUCCAAGCUCGAGAUUUUGCCAGCCUUAGCCUCCCUGGUGGUUGGGAUUACAGACAUCACACCUCACCGGCAGCACAAUCAUAUCCAAAUGAAAACAUGUCUGAUCUUGACCUUCCUGUCAUUGAUCAAUAUGUCCUCUGUCCAGACUGCUUGAGAAUGAAGGCAGAGAGAUGGGGACUUAAUGGGAAGCAGGACACAAGAUAUCAAGGCCUUCCCCAUUUCAUACAGCCAACCAAAAAAAUGAUAAUUCUGGAUGCCCCAAAGCAUCUACGAUUUCCCAUCAUGGAUUUUAUGAGUGACAGGAUGAUAAGAUCAAAAUACAAGCCUACAGAAACCAGUGUCAAUCAGGACAUCGAAGCAGAAAAUGUUCAAUACAGACUGCCAAUGCGGGCCAUUUGGGGUGCCAAGAAGCCUUUACAGACACUAUAUACUGAUCUUUUAACAUCCUGCCAGAGUUCACGGCCUUCUAAAAAAGAAUGUUCUCCAGAGGAAAAGAAUAUAUGGGCAGAAUUCAAUAUCAGCAAGAGCCCCAAGCAUAGUAAAUUCCACUGAUUUUCUAUCAACUGCUGCCCUCUUCUCAUGUCUUCCUGCCCUCCUCCCAUGCCCAGUCUUGGCUAAGAAAGGAGGCUCUUUUGCAUUCCUUCCUGAUGAAGAUCUUUUACUCCUACUAUUAUGUCCACCACUUAUAUCCUAAUAAUAUAGUAGCUUAAUUUAUAGGAUUAUAAAUACAAUUGGUUAACAUAGAACAUUG